GACGAACGCUGGCGGCGUGCCUAAUACAUGCAAGUCGAACGCAGUGGGGCCGGGUGAGUAACACGUGGGUAACCUCCCAUCAGAUGGGAUAACACUUGGCAACAGGUGCUAAACCGAUACUGAUGGAUGCACCCUUGGUGCAUUAGCGAGGUGGUGAGGUAACGGCUCACCCAGGCCACGAUGCAUAGCCGACCUGAGAGGGUGAUCGGCCAACCUGGGACUGAGACACGGCCCAGACUCCUACGGGAGGCAGCAGUAGGGAAUCUUCGGCAAUGGACGAAAGUCUGACCGGGAAACGCCGCGUGAGUGAAGAAGGUUUUCGGAUCGUAAAACUCUGGUGUUAGGGAAGCGGUAUCUAACCAGAAAGCCACGGCUAACUACGUGCCAGCAGCCGCGGUAAUAC
rnacentral:rRNA from 1 species